UCCACUUCCAGGUUCACCGCCAAACAUGUGGAGGGCCCCCCCUGGGACUUGGAUGCUCCAUCCAUCCUAGCAUCACAGUGCUCAUGAGCCAUGCCUGCUACCUCAAGGUAUGUAGAAAAAACUUUUAAAACUGUGCCUGUGUCUGAAUCACUGAUUCUCCAAAUCAGCAUCGAAUCUUCAGAUUCGGAUUCAGCUGAAUCAAAUCAGGGACAGUGAUCCGAAUCAACAAAUUGAAUCACUGUCCCUGAUUCAAGCCAAAUUCAAAUCAAAUAGGGCCUGCUUCGCACACCCCUAGAACCCAUUACUUAACAGCCUGUCUCUCCCUGCCUGGGAAGGGGGCAAGCUAUCAGCUAGCAGUUGGCAGCUGCUGAAAAACAGCAGCUGCCACAGACAGCCUGGGGAGGGUUCCAGCCCUGGAAGAAUGUACCCCUCUUCCUGCCAAACAGCUGAUGUGAAAGGCGGCUGCAAAAUCUUGAAACAUUGCAGCCAGGAAAGGCACAGGGAUGUACAUCUGUCCCCCAGCUAAAACAUUUCCUUUUUCAAGUAUCACCAAGCAUGUUUUACUUGGAUCUAUGAAGUGGGAAACAGAUGCUAACAUAUGUAGACUGCAGAUAUCAUAGACAAGGACCUAUCCAGAUCAAGGCAAGAGACGAGCAAUUUUGCAGGCUUAUUGUGGUGCUGGCCACCAUUUUCAUGGGUUUAUAGUGGCAGCCUCUGCCCUCGCCCCCAACACUGAUUGGCCAAGGAGCUGCCUUUCGUGCAGCCCUGCCCCUUGCUGCUGAUUAACAGAGGCCUGCCCUUCACAUGGCCCCAUUGCUCACCACUGAUUGGCAGAGAGAGGCAGGGCUUCAUGAAGGGUAACCCUCUCAGCCAAUCAAUGGCAGAGGAAUGGCUCCCUUUGGGGAGCCAUAAUUUUUUUUUUUUUUAGUACUUUUUUUUCUGGCAAUUCUGUGCAAUAUCACGAUUUGAGUAGGUCCCUAAUUAUAGGAUUCCCCCACUCCACCCCCCUGAUUUUCAAGAACAGACUUCAACUAGGCACGUUAACGGUAUAUCCUUCUGCUUUUGAAUCAGAUACUGCCUGAGAUAGGUAGGUGGAUUUGAUGGACCUGUGAGCUAGUAACUAGAAGAAAGUAUGAAACUAAGAACCUUGCAUCCUUACAAUGACACGUUCUUAAAUUUUUUUUUGUUUGUUUGUUAGUUUUGUUUUUGUAAUUUUAAGCUACAGCCCAUAGUAGAUACAGGGAGAAAAUUCGAGAAAUAUACCACACUGUCAGCAGCUCCUGAGGUCGACCGGAUGAAACUCUGGCUAAUGUCACCUGAUGGUCAUUGACUCUACUGUCAUUGAACUCUCAGUAACCGCGGUCAGGCCUAAAUCUCACACACUGUGAUCAAAGUAGUCACAGAGGGGCUGCAAAGAAGAGUAACCUUUGUAACAUCUUUUAACAGGAAGGAGCAUGCAAAAGUCCUUGGCUCAGUCUCAAUUUCCAGUCAUCAUAAAGCCAGACAAUCACUUCUCCUCACCACCUUUAAACAUUUAGUUCUGGUGUCAGUGCCAAAGCUCCCCAAGCCUACUAGAUAGGAACAUAAUCAAUGUCUCUGCAAAAGGUAAGAGUGUUAAGUAGGAAGAUUCCUUUUCCCUUUCUGUGUCUUGAAGACUGUGCAAGCACUGGUACAAGCUAGCCCAUGAUGCUUUACCAGGUAAAAUUCCCUUCAUAUUCGAAGCCAGCUGAUAAGGUUACAUAUUAACACUGGUUACGUUAACACUUGGCUCUGGUGACAUGUAUUAUUUGACCUACUGUACAGUGGCACUUUGUCUUUUUGCCUGCAAAGAAUUCAAGUAGAGAUUGCUGACGUUAAUAGGGAAGGAGAGGAGGGUGGAAAGAAGCCAGGCCUAAGAUAUUGGCAGAUAUCAGACGAGCACACAAAGGCAGCAAACAGAAAAUAUUGAUUGGCACUUCACACUGGACUAUGCUUCCCGGGUACAAUAUUCAUCUGAUUUAUUUUCCACACAAAUUUAUUAAAUCAUUGUUAAAGGGUGUGGCUUUCCAUGGAAAGAAUGGUAUUCUUCACAAAUGUCUGUGACUUGGUUUUAUUUCAAAGAUUGUUUUCCCCCCUGUUUUGAACUAACAAUGUUGUCAGACAAUUCAAGCAUAAGGACCUCUGUCAAACUACUAAAAAAAGCUCAAAAUGUAGAUAUUAUGGCAAUGAGUGCCACAUAAAUAAAGAAAAAAAAUUUAAUGUGGAGGAAGGUAUUCUCAUCACUCCUCUUAAAGUUCCACAAAAAGCAAUGAUUUAUAUAAUACAAAAACUUCUCUCCAAUCUCCUAAAUCCAAGAAAUAAAAGGAUUGCAGCAGUAUAUGAGAAACAGAUUAAAAAAAAAAAAUACCAGAAACCACAAAGUGUCCAAACUCAAUGAAAAGGCAAGAGGGUAAGAAUUAAACAAGCAGUAGGACUGGUGACUCAGUUUUGUAAAAGACUGCCCCAUCAUGGUUCACUUAAGGAGUGGUCACCUAUCAGUUCUCCUGUGUCACAUUGGGAUCAAUAUUAUGCUUCCUCAACUACACAAAUCAAGGGUCUUUCAAAUCCAACCUUGACUAGCUCCAGCACUGGUAAUUUCACAACCUCCCUGGGCAGCUCGCUGGUCAUAGAGCUAGAGUUUCCUUAAUAUUUAACCUGCAGCAAUUUAAGUUUGUUACUUCUUUCCCCUUAGACUAAAGAGAACAGUUGCCCUCUUUACAGUAUCCCUUAGCAUAUUCAAAUAGACAAUUAUGUCUCUCUAGCUUUUUGUUCAAGUCGACUCCCCUAAUCUUUUCUCAGGCUCUAGGGCUUAUAUACCAAAAUUUUCAUUAUCUUUGUUGCUGUCCUCUGAACUCUAUUCAGUUUGUAUGUUUAAAAAAGCAAGGCCCAGACAAUGCAGAGUAGAGCAGAAUAACAACCCAGACAACAGCUCCUAUUGUGGUCAUAUACACACAUUGGUCUUUUCUGUAACAACCGCAUGUUAGCUUACUUCAUAAAUGCUCACUAGAAAUCAUCCAUCUAACUCCAUGCUGCUCAAUGGACAAAUCAUUACUUGCUUGGAUGGAAAGGACAAAAUCCAUAGUGGGAUCCAUAGUGUACCCUGGAAGUGAUUACAAAAAUGAUACUGACCCAGAUGUCAUGCUGUCUGGCCCCACACACUAGGGGUGGUUAUCUGUGUGAAUUAGAGUCUGCCCAUGGGAAAAGCAGAAUGGGACUCUGGAGACCAAGGCACUAUUUAACACUGCCUUUCCAGUAAAUUAGAAGAGAAUAUACUGAUAAAAUAAUAUAGCAAAAGCCUUUUGCACAACCAUAUUUUGAAUCAAGCGCCUUUCCUGUAAAGCACAAAAGCCCUGCUGGAGCUAUACCAAUAAGGCAAUGAGAGAGAUACAGGAACUAAGAGCAGAGCCAACCUUAGGAAAAAUGGGGCCCUGGGCAAAAUUGUAUUUUGGUGCUCCACCUUUGAGUUUAAGUAUGUAGUAGUAUUAGCAAAAGUUUCAGAAAUAAAUCCCGGGGGGGAUGGAGCUGCUGGGCUGGAUCAAGAGACUUGCUUCCCUGCAGACAGGCACUGCUGCUGCUGUGUGGGAUCAAGGUGGACAGACUGGAUCAGACACCACCCUGCCCUCACAGGCACAGCCUGAGCAGUGGCUGGAGGUGUGGGGUCGGCUGGCCUGGGCACUGUUCCUCCUGCCUGAGGAGUUUAGAUUAGCAUCAUGUUAACUGUGGAUUACCUGAUCUGCAUCACAGCCCACUGGUUACUUACAUGAGGAGAGGUAUGUUUCAUUUAGUUUCUUUAUCUUGGGAGUCCUUUUCUUUUUCUUUAAGGAAAAUUAAUGAAUCUUUCAUAUUCAGUGAACCCAGGAGACCAUAGAAAUAUCACUUUGAGCUAGGAAGAGAAGAGAUAUACAGAUCGGUAACAAGAAGAUGAGGAAGAAACAUCAUGUGAGAGAAGUUAGGAAUGGUGAUCAGAGAUUGAGAGAAGAAAAAAAAAAGAGAUCAGAACACAAAAAAUAGGAGGUCAACAAAAGAGAAGAGACAUAAAGAACAUAAGAAGUGCUCUACUGCAUCAGACCACAGGUCCACGUAACCCAGUAUCCAGUGGCAGAGUGGAUGCUAAGGGGAAGAAUAUAAACACAGGGCCUAGAAAGUCCUAAUUUGGAAGUGCAACCGUAAUUAUUAUGCUUAAUAUCCACUGACAGACCUACCCUGCAUAAAUUUGUCCAAUUCUCUUAUGAAUUUGGUUGACUUAUCAGCCUCUACAACAUCUUGUGGUAAUCAAUUGCACAAGUUAAUUGCAUGCUGCGUGAUUUCUUUUUUGUUUGUUUUAAACCUCCUUCUUAACAAUUUCAUUGUGUAUUCCCUAGUUCUAAUAUCAUGAGGAAUGGUAACCAGUAAAUUCCUAUUUAUUUUC